CCCCCGCUGAAUUUUGACCCCAAACCAGAGAGCGCAGAACAGGCUGGGAACCUCUAGUGCUUUGACCUGGGAGGCACCAGACGCCUCGGUGCCGGGCGGCCGGGUUUCGGACUAGCGCAGCCCGAACUUCUCCGGGCUCCGUGCCGCGGGAAACGGGCCAGACGCGCCUCCCCAGCGUGUGCACCCCCGGCUCCGGUCUCCAGUCCCCGGCCGGGGCGAGGGAAGGCGGGCACCGGCUCUCUGACGCGCUUGGACCCCACCCUUUCCUGCGGCCGUACAGGGCGGAGGCCGCCCGGACCCGGAGUCCCCGCAGCGGCGACCCGCGUGUCCUUCCCACCCGGCGGCGCUGGGUUUCGCUUGGGGAUACUGUGCCGCACGGAAUCCGGAGUGGAGCCGGAUCUGCCGCAGGUGAAAACGGGGCUCUAGCGAUCCGAACCGAAGCUGGCCCGGCUGGGAGUUGCGGCAGGCGAGAGACACAGCUGGACCCCCGAGGGAAACUGAGAGACGGGAUGCAGGGAAGCCCGAACCCGGUGUGGGGAAUGGCUGGCCCAGGCGCAGAGGAUGUUCCGUGCUGAGUCACGCAAGGUUU
rnacentral:lncRNA from 1 species